UUAUUUCUUAAAUCCGCCAUUUUCUCUAUACCCACCUUAACUUGCAAAUUACCCUGCGGAUCUAUGUAAUGGCAACAAGAGGGUCCCACAACCUGGCACAUACCUCCAUCUUUAGCUGUAACAUAAUCUAGAACUAAUGUGUGUUGGUUGG